rfam:Picea glauca, whole genome shotgun sequence.
ACAUGCUUACAACAUAGUGUUAAUGCACUGGAUCUCAUUAGAACUAUUAAGCGUGCUCAUGCUAGAGUAGUACUGGAAUGGGUGACCAUUUGGGAAGUCUUGGUAUUUUACAUGCC